rnacentral:rRNA from 1 species
CAGCCGCCACGGGAAUACAGAGGGUGCAAGCGUUAAUCGGAAUUACUGGGCGUAAAGCGCGCGUAGGUGGUUCGCCAAGUUGGAUGUGAAAUCCCCGGGCUCAACCUGGGAACUGCAUCCAAAACUGGCGAGCUAGAGUAUGGUAGAGGGUGGUGGAAUUUCCUGUGUAGCGGUGAAAUGCGUAGAUAUAGGAAGGAACACCAGUGGCGAAGGCGACCACCUGGACUGAUACUGACACUGAGGUGCGAAAGCGUGGGGAGCAAACAGGAUUAGAUACCCGUGUAGUCCCUGUCUCUUAUAC